rnacentral:rRNA from 1 species
CACACUGUAAACGAUGAUAACUCGCUGCCGGCGAUACAUUGUUGGUGGCCAAGCGAAAGCAUUAAGUUAUCCACCUGGGGAGUACGACCGCAAGGUUGAAACUCAAAGGAAUUGACGGGGGCCCGCACAAGCGGAGGAACAUGUGGUUUAAUUCGAUGAUACGCGAGGAACCUUACCCGGGCUCGAACGGUGCAUGAAUAUAUGAGAGAUUGUAUAGUCUUCGGACAUGCAUCGAGGUGC